GGUUAAGCGACUAAGCGUACACGGUGGAUGCCCUGGCAGUCAGAGGCGAUGAAGGACGUGCUAAUCUGCGAAAAGCGUCGGUAAGGUGAUAUGAACCGUUAUAACCGGCGAUGUCCGAAUGGGGAAACCCAGUGCAAUUCGUUGCACUAUCGUUAACUGAAUACAUAGGUUAACGAGGCGAACCGGGGGAACUGAAACAUCUAAGUACCCCGAGGAAAAGAAAUCAACCGAGAUUCCCCCAGUAGCGGCGAGCGAACGGGGAGCAGCCCAGAGUCUGAAUCAGCUUGUGUGUUAGUGGAACGGUCUGGAAAGUCCGACGGUACAGGGUGAUAGUCCCGUACACCAAAAUGCACAGGCUGUGAACUCGAAGAGUAGGGCGGGACACGUGGUAUCCUGUCUGAAUAUGGGGGGACCAUCCUCCAAGGCUAAAUACUCCUGACUGACCGAUAGUGAACCAGUACCGUGAGGGAAAGGCGAAAAGAACCCCGGCGAGGGGAGUGAAAAAGAACCUGAAACCGUGUACGUACAAGCAGUGGGAGCACCUUCGGGUGUGACUGCGUACCUUUUGUAUAAUGGGUCAGCGACUUAUAUUCUGUAGCAAGGUUAACCGUAUAGGGGAGCCGCAGGGAAACCGAGUCUUAACUGGGCGUUAAGUUGCAGGGUAUAGACCCGAAACCCGGUGAUCUAGCCAUGGGCAGGUUGAAGGUUGGGUAACACUAACUGGAGGACCGAACCGACUAAUGUUGAAAAAUUAGCGGAUGACUUGUGGCUGGGGGUGAAAGGCCAAUCAAACCGGGAGAUAGCUGGUUCUCCCCGAAAGCUAUUUAGGUAGCGCCUCGUGAACUCAUCUUCGGGGGUAGAGCACUGUUUCGGCUAGGGGGUCAUCCCGACUUACCAACCCGAUGCAAACUACGAAUACCGAAGAAUGUUAUCACGGGAGACACACGGCGGGUGCUAACGUCCGUCGUGAAGAGGGAAACAACCCAGACCGCCAGCUAAGGUCCCAAAGUCAUGGUUAAGUGGGAAACGAUGUGGGAAGGCACAGACAGCCAGGAUGUUGGCUUAGAAGCAGCCAUCAUUUAAAGAAAGCGUAAUAGCUCACUGGUCGAGUCGGCCUGCGCGGAAGAUGUAACGGGGCUAAACCAUGCACCGAAGCUGCGGCAGCGACACGAUGUGUUGUUGGGUAGGGGAGCGUUCUGUAAGCCUGCGAAGGUGUGCUGUGAGGCAUGCUGGAGGUAUCAGAAGUGCGAAUGCUGACAUAAGUAACGAUAAAGCGGGUGAAAAGCCCGCUCGCCGGAAGACCAAGGGUUCCUGUCCAACGUUAAUCGGGGCAGGGUGAGUCGACCCCUAAGGCGAGGCCGAAAGGCGUAGUCGAUGGGAAACAGGUUAAUAUUCCUGUACUUGGUGUUACUGCGAAGGGGGGACGGAGAAGGCUAUGUUAGCCGGGCGACGGUUGUCCCGGUUUAAGCAUGUAGGCUGGUUGUCCAGGCAAAUCCGGAUAAUCAAGGCUGAGGUGUGAUGACGAGGCACUACGGUGCUGAAGUAACAAAUGCCCUGCUUCCAGGAAAAGCCUCUAAGCAUCAGGUAACAUUAAAUCGUACCCCAAACCGACACAGGUGGUCAGGUAGAGAAUACCAAGGCGCUUGAGAGAACUCGGGUGAAGGAACUAGGCAAAAUGGUGCCGUAACUUCGGGAGAAGGCACGCUGGUGUGUAGGUGAAGCCCCUGCGGGUGGAGCUGAGACCAGUCGAAGAUACCAGCUGGCUGCAACUGUUUAUUAAAAACACAGCACUGUGCAAACACGAAAGUGGACGUAUACGGUGUGACGCCUGCCCGGUGCCGGAAGGUUAAUUGAUGGGGUUAUCCGUAAGGAGAAGCUCUUGAUCGAAGCCCCGGUAAACGGCGGCCGUAACUAUAACGGUCCUAAGGUAGCGAAAUUCCUUGUCGGGUAAGUUCCGACCUGCACGAAUGGCGUAAUGAUGGCCAGGCUGUCUCCACCCGAGACUCAGUGAAAUUGAACUCGCUGUGAAGAUGCAGUGUACCCGCGGCAAGACGGAAAGACCCCGUGAACCUUUACUAUAGCUUGACACUGAACAUUGAGCCUUGAUGUGUAGGAUAGGUGGGAGGCUUUGAAGCGUGGACGCCAGUCUGCGUGGAGCCAACCUUGAAAUACCACCCUUUAAUGUUUGAUGUUCUAACGUUGGCCCCUGACCGGGGUUGCGGACAGUGUCUGGUGGGUAGUUUGACUGGGGCGGUCUCCUCCCAAAGCGUAACGGAGGAGCACGAAGGUUAGCUAAUCCUGGUCGGACAUCAGGAGGUUAGUGCAAUGGCAUAAGCUAGCUUGACUGCGAGCGUGACGGCGCGAGCAGGUGCGAAAGCAGGUCAUAGUGAUCCGGUGGUUCUGAAUGGAAGGGCCAUCGCUCAACGGAUAAAAGGUACUCCGGGGAUAACAGGCUGAUACCGCCCAAGAGUUCAUAUCGACGGCGGUGUUUGGCACCUCGAUGUCGGCUCAUCACAUCCUGGGGCUGAAGUAGGUCCCAAGGGUAUGGCUGUUCGCCAUUUAAAGUGGUACGCGAGCUGGGUUUAGAACGUCGUGAGACAGUUCGGUCCCUAUCUGCCGUGGGCGCUGGAGAAUUGAGGGGGGCUGCUCCUAGUACGAGAGGACCGGAGUGGACGCAUCACUGGUGUUCGGGUUGUCAUGCCAAUGGCACUGCCCGGUAGCUAAAUGCGGAAGAGAUAAGUGCUGAAAGCAUCUAAGCACGAAACUUGCCCCGAGAUGAGUUCUCCCUGAGACUUUAAGUCUCCUGAAGGAACGUUGAAGACGACGACGUUGAUAGGCCGGGUGUGUAAGCGCAGCGAUGCGUUGAGCUAACCGGUACUAAUGAACCGUGAGGCUUAACCUU
rnacentral:rRNA from 1 species